rnacentral:rRNA from 1 species
CCCUUAGAUGUCCUGGGCCGCACGCGCGCUACACUGAGUGUCUGAGAUACGAGUCUGCCUGGUCCGGCAAGGUCUAGGUAAUCGCUAAAAGACACAUCAUGCUUGGGAUAGAUUAUUGCAAAUAUUAAUCUUGAACGAGGAAUUCCUAGUAAGCGCAAGUCAACAGCUUGCGUUGAUUACGUCCCUGCCCUUUGUACACACCGCCCGUCGCACCUACCGAUUGAAUGGUUCGGUGAAGAUCUCGGACUUCGAUAUUUAUUCUUUAUUGAGUUUAUAUUGUGGGAAGUUAUCUAAACCUCAUCAUUUAGAGGAAGGUGAAGUCGUAACA